UACGGGGGGGGCAAGCGUUGUUCGGAAUUACUGGGCGUAAAGGGCUCGUAGGUGGCCAACUAAGUCAGACGUGAAAUCCCUCGGCUUAACUGGGGAACUGCGUCUGAUACUGGAUGGCUUGAGAUUGGGAGAGGGACGCGGAAUUCCAGGUGUAGCGGUGAAAUGCGUAGAUAUCUGGAGGAACACCGGUGGCGAAGGCGGCGUCCUGGACCAACACUGACACUGAGGAGCGAAAGCGUGGGGAGCAAACAGG
rnacentral:rRNA from 1 species